AUUCUCUUAUCUAUCCAGCAGAGGAGCUCUGCACAUGUUCAAAGACCCUUCGAAGAUAAUGGAAGACAAUAGUUGUCAAAUCCUCACCAACGGUGAUCAGUGCUACUGAAAGUAGAUUGUCCGCUUCAUUUCCCAACGAAAUGCCAAUCGAAAGUGGAAGUGAUGUGAACCUACUUGGAUGUGACAACUAAGUGAAAGAAGAGUCAAUGAGCAAAUUUUGUGGAGGAAGGACCCAAAACUUCAGAAGUUUGCGAGACGAUGCUCGUUAAAGCUCCAACAAGCAUCCACCCAGUUCAAGUAGCAUGAGGCAUUUGAGAGACUAGCGUAAGGAUGGUCUUUUCCUUACUACGGUAAGGAUGGUCUUUUCCUUCAUCUGGAGGAUCCGCAGGAACUAACAAGGAUCAACACAACUCAGCCAACCCCACACUAGAGUUAGAGUCAUUGGC
rnacentral:lncRNA from 1 species